UUCUUCCCCAUUUCUUUUAUUUUUUUUUAAUUUUCUUUUAUUUUUGCAACUUUUACGGAGGGCGGUGUAGAGACUUUCCUCUUCAUUUAGGGUUUGCACCUCGAGAGCUUGCGUGAGAUCGGCAAGAAAAGAGCGAUGGCAUCUCCGGCGACGAGUUCAGGGUUGUUCAAGUUCCUGCGGCCGCGCCUCCGCCCUCAGUCGACGGACAUCGUUUCCGCCGCCACCUGGGGAGUCGCCGCCACCGCCUCUGCCCUUUGGCUCAUUCAGCCUUUUGAUUGGUUGAAGAAGAAGCUAUUUGAGAAACCAGAGCCUGAGCAGUGAAUUUUGUCGAGACGUGCAUGGUAGAAAUCUGUGAGAAAUGUGGUACCCUGUUAAGGAUAUCUAUUUUAUGUUUCAGUUUCCUUUGCAAAUGGCGGGAUGAACGGGAAAAAGAUAUGCUGUUUCUUGCUUCGUUGAUGGCCGAACAUCUGUUGUUUUUGAGAUAAUUCCUGUAUCCAACUUCUUAUGUGGUUGUGUUGAAGGGGUUAUGCUUGGUUUGGAAUAACUGACA